UCGUGGGUCUGCAGACCCCAGCUGUCUCACAUUUGACUGAUUAUUAGCGGAGGGCCAGGACUCCUUCAGUCAGACGACUAAAAAUGUUGUCCGGACGCAGAAUGAAGAGUUCUUACUUCUGUCUGGUUUAAGAGAAAAAGAUGUUUUAAAAGACUCAAUAACUGAACUAAUAAGCUUAAUUCUGAAUUCAGGAGCCAAGGUUUUUCUUUUUCUGAGCAACAAAGUGAACCAAAAUGGAUGAUUCAAGCAAGCAGCUGCCUUCGUUUGGGAAUGGAGGACAGAGGAACCAGCCGUCCAGGCCUUUCUUCUUCGUCCAGCCUCCAUCCCAGCCUUACUUCCUGUACCAGCACCUGCAGCUCAACAACCCAUACGCCCAGUACGGCCUGCCUGGAGGUUUUAAUGUUGGUCGUCCCUGCAUGCCCCCGUACUCCUAUGUGCCAUAUCCUGGCUUUGUUUUACCACACGCUCCAAUCUAUCCAAUGGAUUACAGGCGUGUGUUUGAGCCCCGCUUCCACGCUCCCGCCUGGGGUGAGAUGCCACGCCCGCAUCCCCACGCCCAGCCUCCAAGGCGCCGAGAAACGGCCUGUUCAGAGGCUCAGACGGAUCCCAGUGACGCCAUCACCAAACUCAUCGAAUGCUUGGAUAAGAUCAGAGUGUCUGAGCUGCAGGGUGGCGACCGAGAGCUGGACUCUGGCGUCGCCUCGCACUCCUUUAGUAUGUCUCCACCGGGAGAAGAGAAGAAAAGGGAGGAGCAGGAUCACAGCACACCUUUAGAGGCUCGCGGAUGCUGUUUGGAGUCUCCUACUGUGACUUUUGGGGAAUCCAGUGUAGCUGUGGAUGACAGCGAGUCCAGCCAGGCGGCCUUGGACACCCAGAGCUCCCAGGCAUGCUGGUCAGGAGGACUGGAGGAGGAGCUGCCAAUAGAUAGCUCUUCUGUCCAUGAAGACUGUGAGCACAGGCAUCCAGCAACAGAGGAACGCUUCUUCUCUUUAGAGAGGGAGCAGGUCACAGAUAUCCAGUCAAAUAUCUCAGUGACUGACUCGAGCGUUCCCAGAUGCGAUCUUGAGAAACCCACGCAGCCGCCCCCCACCUCCUCCAGCCAGCCUGAGUCCAGAGAGGCUAAAAGCAGUGAGGUAGUUCCAGAGGCGGAGCAUCCUGCUGAUGAACUCGGUUGUCAGAUCCUCAAACUGCCCUUUGAUUGUGUUUUGGCACCUGGAGCUGCUGCCGGCGCUGCAGCCGGACACGUUUUAUCUCCAGCUGCCCCUUACUACUACAACUACCUCUCCAUGCAGGCCACACACGAGCGCAUGAGCGUGCUCAGUCCGUCUUUGGAUGAGCUCUCCUCCAGAGAUGAGAUGUUCUCCACAGAUCUGGAGGACGUCGACCUCUUUCCCAAGCACGUGUACACAGGGAGGCGGCUCGCAGAGGUCAUGGGCGGAUCCCCUCACCGCAACGAGGUGUGGCUACCGGACACAAAGAGGUACAUGUGUGCUUGUUGUGGGAAAAGUUUGAAUAAAGGCUUGAGCAGGAGCAAAACCUCCAAGAUUUACUGGGAUGAAGGUGGAGACUCGGAGGAAGAGGAGGAGGAGGAAGGAAAGUUUGGGAGAAGCUGCGAGCAGCCAGUCAGAGUGGUUGUAAGGAAGCACAUUUCGCCCCGAAAAUCUUACAUCCUCCCCGCAAGACAUGCCCCAAAGUCUUGGUAUAAAAGGGGACAAUACAGAGAGGCGCCAGAACCAGCGGAGCAGGACCAAGAGGGUGAAGAUGGAAAGCAGCAGCAGAAGGAGGCGGCGGAAGCAGAGGAGCAGCAGGACGGCAGCAAGUUGCAGUGCAGGACGUGUCAGGACCCUGCAGAGACGCUGGAACCACAGCGGAUCAGUGGGCCGAGGAAGUGAUUCCCAGGAGGAGACACGCGGCGCCUCCACAGAGACAAGGCAGAUCAGAUCCCAGAUGUUGACGGCCUUUCCCGACGUUUUGAAGAGUUGAACUGUCCCCCCCGAGAAGCUUAGUCACGGAUGGUUGGGGAAUUGAACACCCGGUGAAAUGCACAGGAAGAUUGGUUUGGUUAGAGAAGUUAAGAAUGUCUGCAGUGACGCUGCCAUGCACUUACAGGCGGAUGGAUUUCACAGAUGCAGGGGAAGGUGUGUCACUGUUUGGGGUCAGUCCAAUAAAAUAAUGUCAAUCUUUAAGCUGCUUUAGUCCUUGUUCUGACAUUUUCACAUGAUUCACUCUUUUUGAGGAGCAACAGUCAAAAAUCAAGUGCAGGUAUUGAAAGACUCUCCUAUAUGUGUGCAAAAAAAUUCACUUUAUUUUCGGCUGUUCAGUUUUUGCAUCUUUGAGCAAUAUAAUGUCAUCUAAAGGUGGAGAGUGGGAACUCUUAAAAACUCUGACGUCUAUUUUUAAUUAAAAAAUUUGACUAGAUUUUCAUAGUUUAUUUUUAUUUUCCUGAGCCGCAUUACGGAGGUUAAAAACCUCUGAGCUGGUUUUCAAUGGCGGAGCAGCAAAUUCUAAAUCCAUCAGUUCCUGAAGAUUCAGACUUAACGCCACGGAUCUGGAAACUUUUCAGAUGAUUAAAAAAGUUAUUCUCUCA